AAGGAGAUCAUAAUGAAAAUGCUUUGCUGUUCAUUCUGCAAGUUGCUGGGUAGAGCUGGCCCCUUAAAUAGCCUGGGACCUCUUGUCCAGCCACCCCUCCUGUCUGUGCUGGAGAGCCAUGGGAGAGGUAGGAAGCAUUUAGAGACUCAUCUGGAAGUACAGAAGAGGUUAAACCAAGAGGACUUUCCCACGAGGAUACCAGCCUUGGCCCUUGUUCUCAGCUCUGGAUUUGGAAAUCUCUAGAUUUAUCAAACUUGAAUGUGUGGUCAAAGGCCUGUUGAUUUCUUAGCCUUUCGUAGAACAUGGCAAGAUUUGCCAGUGAGGCAUGCUUAAUAAAACUGGUUGGUGCUUGAGUAAUCCGCAGUUUGGGGAGGGUGAACAUGGUCUUUGUAAAAGGAAGCUUGGCCAUACAAAUCUGAUAGCAUUCUUAAAAGAGGCUUAGAGACACAUGGAUAAGAGUCAUCCCAUUGGCCAGUUAUUGUUAGAUUUCCAGAGGCUUUUGGCAGACUUUUUCACCAAAAGCUUGAAAGAAACCCAACAUAAUAAAGAAGAUGCUUACAUGGAUAAAAACUUGAUAAAGGGUAAAAAAAUGGAACAUAUGAAUAAAUCACCAAUUCUUGGAACAUAGUGAGGUGAGCAGGGGGAUUAAGUGGUGAUUUGUGGUGGCACUCUUUUUGUUCAGUGAGCAGCAAGAUAAAAAACUUUGCUGCUGAAACUGAAUUACUCAAACCAGCAAAGAUGAAGGACAGCUGUAAAGAGCUAUAGAAGGAUCUGAUGAAUGGCAUUCAAGGUAGAUAGAAAUAAAGUGAUGCAAAUCUGGGAAAAAAAUGAUCAUAAAGUAACCUGUUAGAUGUUGAUUUCUGGGCUGACCAUUACAACUCGACUAAAACAGUGGGUACACAACAGAUCCAUGAAAAUAUCAUCUCGGUACUCAACAGUGACUGUUGAAGCAUAUAAAAUAGUAGCAGUUAUUAGAGGAGAAAACAAACAGCAUCAUUUUGCCAUUCAGUUAAAUCCAUAAGUGUUCCAAUUGUUUUAGUUCUUUCACAUUGCAAAGGGUGCAGCAGAGCUGGAAAAGAGUCAGAGAAGGUCAGCAAGGGUAUAAAACAUUUCUGCAAUGAGUUGUUGCUAAUGAUGUUAGGGAGUGGUCUGCCCUGGCAUGCCCGGCCUUUCCCAGGCUCAGCUCAGGCUAUGGCUGGGGCUAACUCCCGCCUACUUGUUUUACGCCUGUCCCAGAGUGCUGCCGUGAAAGUCAACAGUUUUUAGAGGAUGUGAGGACAAGGCUGUAAAAAUAAACAACAGUAAUUUUGUUGAAAGUAUCCACUCAACUACGCAGUGGCAGAAGCAACGCUCCUGUAAACAGAUCCUUUUUUUUUUUUCCCCCCCAAAAUCUUCUUAAAAGCUAGUUUUCCACAUCACUGCUUAGCCACAAUCUCACUACCGUAAAUGAAUAGCAUGUGAAGCCUAGGAAGAGUGUGUGAACCAGAUUUUACAGUAGGUUGGAUCUCUUCCUUACAAACCAGCAAGCUGCAGUUGCAGAAGUGAAGUUUUAUGUCUCUUCUUGUAGUAGGAAAAUGGAAAAGCUUAGUGCAGUUGGCCAUGUCUGGUAGACAGGAGGGAGAAGAUGGAAAGCCAUUUUCAAGGUAAAAUACCAUCAGCUAUUCUGCCAAGAUCUAAGGUCCCAGAUGCAGAGGGAAUGCAUUUCCCACUCUUUUUUUUUUUUUUUUUUUAGCUUGCAGUGUCUCUCUUUUGUUUUUUAAAUUAUUUUUUGGCAGUAACAUAACCCCUGGAAUCCUGCCAUUUACUGCUUUUAAAGUUUCUCUUGAAAAGAGGGAGGGAGGCAGGGAGAAAUCAAGGGGUAAAGGGAGUAUGAAACCCUAAUGGAACUGAUUGCAAGGGUACAUAACUGACAUAUUUUCUGCAAAAAUAAUCCAUAAUUUAUUUUUGUGAUGACUCCAUUUUUAUGUCAGGCCCUGUGGGAGAUAAGACAAUGACUGUUCAGUAGAGCUUACGGCCUGUUUCAAAGUAGCAACAAAACAGCUAGGCAGAACUAAACUUACUGGUAUUUUACGGGGUUUCCUUAAAAGAAGACUGUCAGUGUAACGUGGUCAUUCCUUAAAUCUUUAAAGCAUGAAGUGUUUAUAGUUAAAAAGAUGCAACCAUGGAAACACAGACAUAUUAAAGUUUUUUCUCAUUUUGGGCUGAAUGGUUUCACAGAUGCUGAGGAAAGGGCACAGCAUCCUCAUUCUGCCCCAGCAAGAUGCACUGUCCGAUUUGCAUUUAUCCCUGUCAGUGAUUUGGGCCAGGUCUUUACCCAGUUUUCACUGUUGUCCCUGUGUCUUGGGUAGCUGAAACUGGGAUAGCUUCUCCCUGCCCAGUUCCUCAGUGUCCCAUGCACCUGUUGCUGCUCUCAGCCGACACCAAGCAGCAGCCCUGUGACCAUCUGCAGCAAGAUGUGGACUGGUAUAGGCUGCCUUGGCACUCUUCCCUCAGAGGAUGCAGAGUGAAGAAAAAUUAAAGGAGCGCUUCUCUAUGCCCGUGGCUCGCUGCAGUUUUGAAAAGGAUAGAUGUAAAGCAAUCCGUUUGCAGCAGAGAUAUUUCUGGUCAUUGUUUCUGCUUCAGUGGGGGGACCUUGGAAGGAAGGGUGUGUGUUGGCCCCUUUCUGAUGAAAGCCAGGGGUAUACUUGCCUGUCAUUGAGAGAUGUAGUGGUGGUGGGCUACAACAUUAACAUCUGGGAAUGACAAAGAGUGCCAUCACCAGCCACUGUGCUCACCCGGAGGCAGGGUCCGUCCUUCCCCAUGCUCUGCUUUCCCACCACAGGGCUUUGCCAGCUGCUGGCCAAUGCCUUGGCAGGUGUCUGCACCACUGUGCUUCUCUUUGUCCAGCUCGUUGGUUUCCUUUCCUAAAAACAACGCCCUUACAAUUAAUACUGAUAGACAUGGACUUCCUCUUUAUUAUUUCCUGUUGUGAUUGGUUUAUUCAGCUUUUCUGCCGUUGGUUCAGCUGGAGCCCUGGUUGGGCUGGCCAGCUUCCAGGUGCUUGGGGAGGAAAUGCAGAGUUUACCUUUGUGUAGCAGUGAGUAACUAGAUAUGCACCCUAUGGUCUGUAUUUUGGGAGGGAAGAGGAAAAUGGGGUGAAAAAAAAAGAGAGACCACAAAUGAUUCUUGUGUAAAGGAUAUGGAUGUUUUUUGUCUAAAUAUACUGUACCAUGCACAUCCUGAUAUUCUCAAGCAGGAUAUCUUUAAAUGGAUACUGACAGCUGAUAUAUGCUUGGUACUGAAUUGUUUUUUAAGGCACAUGCAUGUAAAAGAAAAUGUGAAACAUAUUAUGGCAAAGUAUAAAAGGAUCUGUUGUUUUCAUAAAUGACGACAUGGUUUUAAAAUUGAAGAACCUCCGUGCAAUGUUGGAAAACCAUAGCAACAAUGUUGGGCUAUUGCACAAGACCCACUAAAAUGAUGCCAGGAGAAACAGAAGUAAAACUUAUUCUUUGCACUGCAGAAGAGGGAAGGAUACUGCAGGUUGUCACACAGUACAGCCUCUGCUCGAAGUAGGGUCUACCACACACAUCUGGUUCAAUCACACUGUCUGCCUAAAAGAGCAAAAGGGAACGUUUCUGAGGUGAUGGCUAAAAUGUACUUUUUAACUGCACCACACUGCAGGCUGCGAAACAGCACAAGCCUCCCUUGGAGAUCAGUCAAUGGGAAAGUAUGGAUCACUUGUGCCAUGAGACAGGGUGGUGCAGAAGGUUGUCAGGGCAAAUUUUAGGUUCUACAUGGAGGAGAAAAAUGCCUAGUAGCCUCUAUAGAGUGGAACUGGAAUGUGGAGACUGUUAUGCUGGAUUAUAUCCAUCAUCCAUCUCGUCAAGCAUCCCACAUCUGAGAGCUGUCAGUGCCAGAUGCUUCAGAUGAAACCCAACCUAUGCCACUAGACUUUACUCAAGGGAGAAUGAGCAACCUGAUACAAAUGGGAGAGGCUGGGAGCAGAGCCGUUAGGAUAUCCCUCCAUCAGUAGUUUCUAACAACUCUACCAUGAGUAUAACCUUAUUGUUUCAGGUAUUUACAGUUCUGCUAUGGUAAGAAGCAAUUUUACAUGUUCAUUUAUGGGAAUUCACUAGAGGUUUUUUGUGAGUAAAGAUUGCAUUCCUGCAAUCCUGCAAAACCGCAGAACUCUGCUCUUUUAAUAAAUGAUAUUUAAAGUUAUUUAAGUCAGAUCCGUUUAAUGCAACUUUUGACUUCCAGGAAGUCAGAUCUUGACUUACUAUGGAAAAGGUUUCCUGAGAAACCUUUUUCUACAGAGUCACAGAAGGUCUGAGGCUGGCAGGCGCUUCUGGACUUUGUCUUGUCCAACCCCCUCUGGUGGUGCAGGGUCAGCCAGAGCAGGCUGCUCAGGGCCUUUUCCAGACAAAUUUUGGUAUUUUCAAGAUUGAGAUGUCACAGCCUCUUUGGGAAACCUUGCCAGUGUUUGAUCAACUGUAAAUGAGUGGGGUUUUUAAAGUGAAAUUUCCUGCAUUUAAGUUUGCAUGCGUUGCCUCCUGUUCUGUCACUGUGCACCACUGAGCUCCAUCUCCUUUAAUUCCUCAAUUCAGGUGUUUAUAUGUGUGUUGCUAAAUGCCCCUGACCCAUCACUUACCCAGACUUCUUGAGAAGCUCUCUCCUCUCAGGAUCCUGCACUCCACUGCGGUCAUCUCAUGGUCGCUGCUGCCGACCUUCACAUUCCCAACCAGCUCUUCCUUCCUGUAAGCAUGAGGUUCAGCAGAGUAUCUCCAUCUAUCAGCACCUCGAUCACCUGUGCCAGGAGGCUGACAUCAACACACUCCAGAAGCCUCCUGGAUUGGUUGUGCCCCACUGCAUUACUCUUUGGAAUAUUAUUGGGGUGGCUGAAGUUCCACAUGAGGAUGAUGGCCUGCAGACAAGAGGCUUCUUCCAGUUGACCAAAGAAGGCCUCAUCUGCCUCUUCAUGACCCAAUGGUCCAUAACAGACAUUCACCAACAUAACUCACUCUCUAAUCCUAAUUUAUAAUUUUAAAAUACGCUCUACUGGUGAUUGUGUGUCAUCACCUCUCUCCCCUGCUGUCCCCUGUUCAGAAGUCUCUGCUGCAGGUUGCUCUGCUUGUAUUAUGUAACUUGUAGAUAACACAAAAUCGCAUUUUAAUGUUACAGUCAUAGUUUUAACAUGUGUUACCAGGUUGAGGUAAGCCCUAGAUUUCAUUUUUAGCUCCUAACAUGUAACUCCAGACUAUUUUAUAUUUAUUUACACUCCUCUGGGCCUAUUAUGCUCAUUUCUUAACACAGGUAGAUGUAAAAAAAAAAAAAAAGAAAAAAAAAUUGCAAAAAACCCAGCACUUGGUAAUCAAAAAAUGUGUAGAUUCCUCUGAGAUGAUUCAUUGAAACUGUUAUUUUGAACAGCGCCUUUGUGGUAAAAUCCUAAUGCUUGGAUGGAUUUUACUUUGGUUCUGCUGCUUGAAGAAAACACUGGUGAAUAUACAGGCAUUUGUAGGAAGACGUAUAGGAUUUCCUUCAGACAACUAUGAAUAUAUCAAUGCAGGAAUGGUUUGUGCCCUACCUCUAUUCAACAUGUGGCUUUUGGCUUCUUCAGAUGUAGGACUUUACAAAGUCUGUUUCCCCUCAUCACACAGAUUUCUUUAUUUCUUCUUUUUGUCCCCUAAAUGAAAAGACUUUAGAGCCACAAGCAGUGAAAUGAAUCUAUCUGAAGAACUGAAUCCCUUAUCCCCUGCUCUCUCUGGAACAAAAUUCAGCCAGGGCAUUCUUAAGUAUUUCACCUUUCAUGGCUUGAAAAAGUCCCCUCCAGUUUAAUCUCCUUAAUCUUCAUUUAUUUUUGCAACCACUUCCUGCUAAGGCAAAGAAAACGUCUCUUCCCUCCCCAACAAAGAAAAAAAAAAUAAUUAAAAGAAAAUAUAUAUUUUAUUUUAUUUUUUUUAAACAGGAAAUCAAAAUAGCCAAGCUCUUCUAGACCUAGCUGUUGUGCUCAGCUUGUUCUGGCUGUGGCUACCAUGAACCAUCUGCUGUGCUACCAGUGGAGGGAGAUCCACACGCUCUUCUCCAGAGCAGGGGUGAGCAUGUGGCCAAGAACAACAGCAGCAGCAAAAAAUCAGAGAAACCCCAGAUGACACGCUGUUGGAGAUCACCGUUUCUCUGUGAUGUGUGGGAAUGCUAUCUGACUCGUUACAGGACAUCUGCACCGUAGGUUGGUGGCCGCCCCCCAGCCUCUUUAAUAGGAGCCUUGUUCUGGCUGGUGCAACCUGUGCCCAGCUGAGGUUUCAACCCUGAGCAUGUAGACUCGGAGAAACCUCUGUAAGGACAUAGUGGGGAAGGAGGGCUGCACAACGGAGAGCCUCCUGUGAAUGGCAGACUGAUUGGAAAUGCGAUGGGGGGUUGUUCGUUGUUGUUUUAGUUCAGCCUUUGUUACUGCAACUCCUUUACAUCCACUACACUUUUCCACAGUCAGCACUGUGGCUGCCAGCAGUUGUUUCUGUCAAAUGCUUCUGAUUAUGGUUGGCGUCAGCAAAUACAGUGUCUACAGCCCCUCUGUAGUGUUUCCAAAAAUGUGUUAGCCUGGACAGGGGACUAAAGGGUCAAAAAUGCAGAAUGGUCUGAAAAACAAAAGGCUUUGUGACCUGUUAUUUCAUUCAGCUCAACAAAAGCUGCUUACAGUAAGGAACUGAAUCAUUUCUCUACAUAGAAUAUGCUAUUGCUUUGCUUUAAAAAUACAUCCUUAGCAAUGGAUCACAUUCCUGACUAGCUCCUGCAGUUCUGGUGGUAGGGAGGGCUUCAGGUGGUAUAUCACAAGAUGCCGAAGUAAAUCAUUAUCUGAGUGGGGAAAAAAGAGGAUUUGGCAAAGGUGAUGCUGGCAAGGAGAGUUUAUGUUAGACAGAGCUGUAGCUGUCACCUGCAUUUGGCACCCAUAGUGUAAUUUGAACAGACAGGUGGUGCCAGUACCUGCUGUGUCAGCAGAGACCUGGCAUGGGGGAAGACAGGCAAGGGAGCACUGGUCCCAUCCCCAUCCUGGGGGUGGUUAUGCUCAAGUCCUUGAUCUACCAAAGACACCUGUCCAUCAGCAAAGCUUCUGCAGCUCAGCAAAUCCUGAGAAACAGUGAGUCAGAGGAUAGUUGGAAACAGAAAUAAACUCACACAGUUACAUUAACUGCUGCUUAGCCAUUUUUCAGGUUUCACACACAUAAAAAGCAGCCUGUAAUCAGCACCCCGUUGUGUCUCUGGCCAGUAUGGGCAGAUAGGCUGCCGGGGCAGGGGUGGCUGAUGUGGCAGGGCAGCAGGGAGGAGCAGGAUCAGCAAGCAGCCUGGAGAUGGGAAGGAAAUGCAGGACCAGGGAGUGAUGGCAUGAAAGGGGAUGGGAUCUGUGGGAUCAGGGGCACAGGCUUGCAUGUGAGUGAUGAUACGUGACACAGUAUGUGGAUUCACCUGGGAGAUCUGAACUGGUCUGGAGCCAGGCCCUGAGUUUUUGCAUCCUCAUACGAUGGUACACUGUGAUAUACACCAAUGUUCAGCCCCUAUGUAGCAUUUAACCCAUGGAUCUCAAAACACACACUUGGCCAAGGUGCCAAGGUCCAAUUAUCCCAAUUAUCAAAAAAAGGAUAAAGGGAUGCAAAACAGCUCACCUCUGUGGAAGAGCUGGGGUUCAGCCUCCAGCCUCCGGCUGCCCAAGCCACAGCAAGUCCUUGGUGUCCUGGGGUGCAUUAGGAAGAGUGUCACCAGCAGGCUGAGGGAGGUCAUCCUCCCCUUCUACUGUGUCUUGGUGAGGCCACAUCUGGAGUACUGCAUUCAGUCCUGGGCUCUCCAGUUUAAGAAGGAUAAGGAAUUAUUGGAGGGAGUAAGGUGAUGAGCCACAAAGAUGAUUAGGAGCCUGUAGCAUCUUCCUUAUGAGGAAAGACUGAGACAGCUGGAUCUGUUCUGCCUGGAGAAGAGAAGGCUGAGAGGGGAUCUUAUUCAUGCUUAUAAAUAUCUCAGGGGAGGGUAUCAAGAGGAUGAGAAAAACUUUUCAGUGGUGCCCAGCAAUAAGAUGAGGGGCAACUGGCAUAGACUGAAAUGUAGAACAUUCCAUCUGAAUAUGAGGAGAAACUUCUUUACUUUGAGGGUGCCAGAGCACUGGAACAGGCUGCUGAGAGAGGUUGUGGAGUCUUCUACGCUGGAGACAUUAAAAACCUCCCUGGUCACAUUUGUGUGCAACCUGUUCAGGUGAACCUGCUUUUGCAGCUGGAUUUGUCUAGAUGAUCUCCAGAGGUCCCUUCUGACUCCAACCAUUCUGUGGUUCUGUGAUUCAUGGCACAGCUCUGUGUCCAUGGUUGCUCAGGGGCCAGGACCAGUCCUCAGAGGUAUAACCACUUGUUUCUUGUAUUCCUGUCCUCUUCCUCCGCUCUUCCACUGGCAUCUGCUCUUGGCCAGGGCUGGAGGCAGGGUGUUGGGCUAUUUCAGCACUCACCCAGGACGUGUGCCCUCUGCUCCUCAUACUCCAAGUCUGAGUAAUUUUACACUCACAGAGGAGACCUAUGUACAGCUGCUGUCAACUUAAGCAGAACUACUACUGGCCAUGUUAAUCACCAGAAGUCCUGCCCUGGUGCACUGUGUGAGGCUAGAGGGUGACAGGCACAAGGGUUCACACUCAGCACAUCCACCACUGACACUGGGACAGUGAGACCCCUGAUUUCAGUGCAGCAUCCACCUCUGGCUAAGUUCUUUGCCAUGAAAUAACUGUUUCUUCCCAACAAGGGAAACCAGAGUGUGAAGUAAAACAUGGCAGCCUGCAUCCUAUCACUACCAUGGGCAGGGCUUUCAGACACACAUGAGAAACCACCUCCAGUUGACCCACUACAGUUAGUCCAAUGUAUCAUGUUUUUACACUGCUCCCUUCCAUCUCCUAUCUAGUUUAUUUUUGCUGUGUGAUAUGCUGCUGUGCCUUCCAGGUGUGCUCAAAGCUGGGGACAACAACAACAACAAAAAAAGAGAUUCAGUGAAAACAGUUGUCCUUGCACCCAUGAGCACUCUCUUCCUCUGGUCCUCAUAUGGUUCCAAAAAAGCCUGUGGCUUCCUUCAUCCUCUCUGCCUCAUAUGAGUACUUGCUGGAGAUUAAAAGGGACAAACUCUGAUGAUCAUCCAUGCAGGUCAGCAUAGGGAAGGUAAGACUCAGAGAAGAACUGUAAAUAUUUUUGUUAAUGGAAAAUAAGAAACCUAAUCCACCUUACUUUUAUUUGUCCCAUUUCUAUUAGUGCAAACAUACUGCAGUAUGUUUCACUGUUUACUCUUCAGGUACCAUGUAACACAGUUAUGAUCGGUGCCUUCUUACCGUCACACUGGGUAAUGCAUUCACAUAUACUAGAAAGGGGUCGUUCCCCGAAGGAGCCUGCACCACAAACAUGGCCAAAAGUGAUGGGCAGCAUCUUUGUUAUCUUCAGUUACAAAUGAGGACCUGAGACACAGCGAAAGUCACUCAACAAAGGACUUUUGUCUGGUUGUUCUAAGGUCCCAUGCCAGCAGCUCCAAUGAAGGACAACCCCGUCUCCCAUGACAGCCAUCACCUUUUCUUUCCUGGGCCAGGGUUCCCUCCAGGUUCACGGGCCAUAAAUAUCUGGCGGCCUGGGUGCCUGUGGUAAGAGUAGCUCUGAGACUGCACUGAAUUACAGUGCCUCAAGGAGUGAGAGUCUCAGGACCACGAACAAAUGUCACUCUAAGGGCUGCACAUCCACAUGCAGCUCUGUUUGACAUCUUUGAGACCUGCAGCCUGUAACUCGUAUACAUUAAAUAGCCUCUGCUAGUCAUCCCACUUCUCCCCUGCUUGUGGUGUCUGCUCCCACCCAACCAAAAUUAAUUUCCCCAGUAGCAGGAACCUGAAUGAUUAUCACUGCAAGGGCAGUUAAGAUAGUCAGUUGCCUUCGGUAGAGUAAACCCCUCAGAGACAUGAGUAAGUAGAAGACAGCUACAUGGCAGAUGUUUAUAUAUAUGCACACACGCACAUAUACACACACUCUCCCUCUCUAAUUUCUUGACACAUGGAGAGCAGCUACACAUGCAGCACACUUUGUAUUGUAUGUCAACUUCAAAUAUAGCCCAAAUCAGCCGUGGAAAUGGCAGCAAUUAUGGUAAGCUGAAACCAAACAAACUGCAGCAACUUAAUAGUUUCAAUGGCAGAAAAAAAAUCCCACAUCACCCAGCUGCAGGAGCUGAUAGGAAGACAAACCUCAAGGCAGCUUAUGGUUUCCUGGCUGUCAUCGGCUAGCAGCUCAGAUACUUCAUAUAAUGAAUAAUCAGUGUUUGAACUGAUGAAAGUGACCUUAAGAUGUGCUGGGGAGGGGGGGAAACUUUCACAGUGUGAGUUGGACAGUGGAAAUGGUGGUCUGAAGACAUUUACAUGGUAAAAGUUUGUACUGUGGUAUGGAGUUAGAGCAGGGUGAAAAUAAAGGCCAUAGUCACUACACGGCCGAAAAAUGGAUACAUAUAUAUGUAUGAAAACAGAGGAGGAGCUCUGUAGAUGAUAGCAGCAGUUUAAGUAGACAUACAUUGCAAGUUGUUUUUCUUUGGAGGCCUGUAUUUGCUACACAGAUGGCAAAACAAGCUGGUGAGAAGCAGGAGGGAAGGUCUUCAGUGGCCAGCUGAGUAAAGGCAUUGAAGUUUUCUUCGUAGCAGUGCAUUAACAGUAUAGGGAGUAAGGCUCUUCUUUCCUUCCUCCCCUCCUGGAGGGGAUGUCAGAGACCUGCCUGACGUGGCAAUGGUGUUCAUCUCCACCUGCCUCCUCAUUCAUGCUGCUUGGUGCUUUGGUAGGGAAGGUGAGCGGCUUUCACUGACCACUCUUGGGACAUUGCACAGGGUUAGGGCUGUGGGCAGAAAGACUGGGACAAGGCCAGAUGUGCCUUUGUGUGGGGCUGAAAGAAGGGACCUGGCUGGCUUUCCAUGUUUCCUGUGAAACUGCUGCAGGCUUCCAGCCUGUGAGAAACCUGGCAGGAUCACACUCACCUUCCACCAAGAUUUCUGUAAAAUCAUAUUCAUGAGUUGCUUUGUCCUUUUUAGCUGGCCUGGUCACUCUCCAAAAGCCAAUCUUUAGAGGAAAAAACAACUAAACCAGCUGUGCGGAUUUUACAGCUAGGACAGUUAUCAUACAACAGAGGCUUUUGUAGAAUUACAGAGGCCUAAAGAGCAAAAUAAAUGAGGUACUGGUUUGGGGAAGGGCUUUUGUUAUGCACUUCUACUCUCCUCUCCAGAACUGCUGCACUUUAAUUAAAAAACAACCUCUUGGGAAAUUUGGAACAUGGACAGUGUUUUUGCUACAAAACCACCACAUACUUUUCCCUCUCUGCCUCCUUAAUUUAGGUUAAAUUUAAAGGAAAUAACUUGAGGUUUGGAAACAAAUAUCUCUAGAGAGCAGCUCAGUAGUAUGGUAUGGAAUGAAGCCAAUAGCUGUAGAGAUCAUCUAAUUUGAACUGAGGCAGGUAGAGAAAAGCCAGGGAAACUGAACCAAACGUUUUCUGUAUACAUUGCUAGUGGCCUGUUUUUCUACAGCUUUACAAUGCAGUGAGUGGCCACAUCAAAGUGAUCUGAUUUUAACAGACAAACAUAGCCAAAUUUUUAGGGUACUCUGGACUCACUUUGUAGGCUCAUGGACACAUCUGCCUAUUAUGUGCCCUGCUACAUGGUACCUGUUUUACCCCUUGCAUGCAAUUUGGCAUGUUUACUCCUCAGGCAAAAAGAGCAUAUGCACCUCGCAUUUACCAUGAGGCUGGCAAGCUGGUAAGCCUUUACUAAAGUAGCUUGAAGCAGCCAGUGUGGUACGAAUUUUGCAGUUCUGCUUGCCAAAAUGUAGCUUGUUCAUGUACCUGGCUGCUCUGGCAAGAGCAUUACUUUACAGGGAUAGAAAAGUUUUCUUCCUCAGGCCUGGUGAGCAAUAGGGAAGAUAGCAGUGGUCUGUACAUUUACUGGGAGACACUGUGUUUUGCAGAGACAUGGAACUGCAGAGUUUCAUUUUCCCUUUCUGCUGUCACUGCAGGCACACCACAUCAUCAUCAAAAUGUUUUCUGUUCUUAUCCAGUGGUAACAUUGGAGUCUGUGAUGUGGGGCAGGUAGGGUCAGAGUCUAAACCUCUCUUUAAGUCCCCAAACCACAGCAGAAGUCAUUGGACCAACUACACUGCUCCACAUCUCCACUUCCAGCCUGACCAGCCUUUCUGGGGUUAAAAUAGACCCUGGACUCUGCUCCUCAGACACAACCCUCUUGUAGGUGGGAGUGUCCUCACCUGUCCAUUAGUGGUGGUGAUUUAUUUGAUGAGGGCCACAGACCCUUGGCAAAGGGGCUGCGUCUGCGCUUGCCAAACUUUCGGCUGUUGAAUUAGGCUGAAGUGAGGUUUCUGCACUGUGGUCCUGAAGGACCUGAUUUACAGAGAGGCUCUGAACUGACCAAUCUGCAGAGGCAGUCUGCCUGGUAAUUUUAAAGGGCUAAAAAAACAUUUGAAACAGGAAAUGAGGAAUAUGAACAAAUGAAAUUCCCUUCUGCUCCCCUGGCUUGCCUUAAUGUCUCUCUUUUACCUCUGUACAGCUGCUCUUGACUCUCUUCAUAGGUGAUGUUGUUCUGUCAGAAAGAUGAUGUGUUCACCCAGACAAUCGCAAAUAGAUAAGAAAACAGAAAUCUGUGUUUUCUUCACUUUCUUAAACCCUUCUGCUCUAACAUAAAAAUUCCCUGGUAUAAGAGAGGUCAGCCAUUCUGCAUCUGAUGGGUAAAGGUCAUAAAACGUAAAAAUUCCCUAAACAAAAAUAUCCCCCUCCCCCAAUGUCUGCAAAGAGUUAACAAAGCAGAAUGAUGUAAAAUGUGGUUACAGCAGACAAGUGUAAAGAGAGCAGCACCUUUCUUCUUCGCCUAGCCUCCUUGUGCGGAGGAAUAAGGUUUCAGAAGCUUUUGAAGGGAGAUAUUGUGCCAGAGGAGUUAGGGAAUGAUGCUGGGGAAGCUGAGCCCUCGUUAUCUUAAUGAUGCACCAAGCCUGGAACAUUUAAAAAAUAGAUGUAGUCUUUUGAAAAACCACAGGACAGACAAAAAUGUAUGUGCGCGUCUUCCAAUUUAGUCAAAAGAGACAAGUCAUUCCUAGCACUUCUUCAAAAGUACUCUUUUUCUCUGUAAAAUAGAAUACUGCAAUUCUGGUGAAGAGCUCCCAUGAAAACCAAGCAUUACUAGAAUGCUAUUUUUGUGAAAGAAAAUCUAUUGCUUACUUCACUAAAAUCUCAUGUUUUCACAGAAUUUGUGAGCUUGGCAGGUCUUUAAUGAAGUAAAUAUUUGCUUUUCUCACCACAAAGUGUCAACACUGCUUUGUGCCUAACUGUUGCCUGGAUAUUAGUUAAUUUUUAUUAUCUUGGUCAAUUUCAAGAAGUAAGAAAUGAAUACAGUUUCAAAUUAAAUCUGGUAAUAAAAAUGAAUUAAUUGAUAUAUAUGUCCAGGCAGUACACCCUAGACUUCAACACUGAAUUACCAGGAGGCUCGUAAGUCUGUCAUUAAGACCCUAAGUGUAUACACAGGCAUCUAAAUAUUUCUUUCAAUUCCAAAACACAGGAUAAGGCACUAAUUUUUAGUGUCCAGAUUCAUCAAUGCAGGCUUUAUUGGACCAUCAGUCAGGUGAAGCAAUCAAGAGUAAAAGAAAAGUGUCUGGCAAACACUCCUGUGGAUAAGCAUGCAGUAGCUGUGAUUUGUGGAGACAGGGGCUACAUUAGAUGCAAAGACAUGGAAGCCACAAGUAUGCUGAGAUCAACUACAAGUUUAGUGAAUUUUAACAGGAAUAACCGUUAUCCUCAAAUUCCUAUCAGCCGUGAAUCACCUGGGCUUUGCUGCUUAUUGCCUUUGGUGCUCAUAAUUCUCUUGGUAAAGACAUUAAGGCAGCCAGUGAGAAGGCAGAAAUGAUAACAUGUGAUUUACGUGACUGGCUGCCCACAUGAAUAACAAAAAGGGAGCAGAUUAAAUUAACAUUUUCCAAAUAGCUUGAAGCAUGAACAUAAUUCUGCCAAAGCAUUUGGUGCAUACUUGGAAGUAAUACAUUCAGGGAAAGGCAGGACUGUUUUGUAAGUAAUUUGCUAAGGAAAAAAAAAAAGCCAAAGCAACAAGUUUAUAAUGUAAUUUAGGGGCUUAAUGAUGCCGAUAAACAUCUAGUGGGAGAUUUAUGCCUGUGUGCUUUUGAAAAAUCCUGAAGGAUGUCCAAUUUACAACUUCAGGUUGUUAAAUACCUUAAGCUUUUGUCUUAGCCUCAAAAUGAGCAUACAUUUGCAACAAAGAGCUUGACCCGGGUAGGUGUGUAACUGCACACUUCUUGCCAGUUCAAACAGGUGUGAGCUGCAAUGUGACACACGUUCUGCAGCAAAUAGGUUCGUAUACCUACAAUUAUAGAAACAACACAGUAAAUUAUUGAAAUGACUUGCCAGAAGAAAAUAAAUCAAUCCCUCAAAAGCAGCACUGGGCAAGUGAAUUGAAGGAGGAAUCUGUAUCUCUCUAUACUCUGUGGUAUUGCAUAGAAAAGGCUCAAAAUUAUGGCAGGGCUAUACAUUAAGGGGGGAAAAAAUAGAAAAGAAAAGGUUUUGUGUGCUGUUCCUAUUUAAAACAAAAAAAAAAAAAGAGAGAGAGUGAAGGGAGAGAUUUCUAGUUUUGUAGGAGAAAAAUUAGGAGGCAAAUUCAGUUAUAUAGAUGUGCUCAAAAAAUCAUGGGGUGCAAGGAGAUCAUCACUAGAAGAAUAAAUUAUUUCCUUCAGUAGGCAGGACCUGAACAUGAAGUGGAAAAAAGCAAUCUUUCUUACAGAAAAUUCAUUUCAGUCUUGAUUCUAAAUGCUAGUGUGAAAAAGUUGUUCACAAAAAAGAGGUGACCUCAAGAAUGUUAUUUCUACACACACGCAAAAAAGUCCUACAUAAUUCUUAAUAGGAGUUGUCUGCAUACAGAAGUUUUUGGUGGUGUGGAUACUGAUUAUUUCAGCAUUGCUUCAGCUGAUCUGUGACAUGCAGUUAAGGUAACCUGAACCAUGCCAUUUAAAAUCAAAAUGACUGUCUAUGCAGACUUUUAUAUCUCUGCUGACUGGAACAUCAUAAUCAAGCCAACGCAAAAAGAUCCAAACAUUUGCUUUAUUUACCAGUUAACCCUUUAACAGUGGUUUCUCUCAGAAAGGCAUUUAAAUAAGAUUUCGUAUCAGGGAUUCAAGGUAGAUCACAUACACUUUUUAUUUUUCUGUCUGUAUGAGCCACCACUUCCUCCCGCUCGGUGCCAGUGUUGUCCAGUGUGAUUGAUAAGGGUUCGGGCUGCUGGCUGGAGGCACUUUUGCAGCACGCUGACAUCUGGAAGUCAUUCCCAGCCUGAGUGGACUGUGAAUGCACUAGACAGACAGGAUCCUGUAACGUCUCUCCUGUCUCAGCCUUCACUGCCUCCAAUGGCCAGAUAAUGAGAGCACUACUGUGAGUGAAAGUGUUUAUGUGUUUAUGUGACUGCACGUAUGUGCUUUUUUGCUGCUGAUUUCUUGCGUGCCCUGCAGACAGCAAGCAGGGAUAUCUUGGGGACAGGGCAGAGACGGAGUGGUGUGCCGGGGUGUGUCAUAACCACCAGGUCCAGGAUGGUGAUGACCUCCUUUUCUCCUGUCUGUUGCAGCAAACUUGUUGCCUGUUUUCAUUAGGGCAUUCUGCUUGGGAAACAACUUUGACCUAGAGCAUGUUUACAAGAAGACGAGGGUAGCUAACACCAUCUAGCCAAGUGGAGUUAUUUUCUAAGUAUUUUUCUUUUCCAAUUACUUUUUGAAUAAGAGCAGCAUCUAUUGAGUUAGCUCACCAAACAGUUUGAAGUCAUUAUACCAAUUUAAAAUCCACACAUCAUUAGAAACCCUUGCCAACGUUCAUAUAAAUAUGUGUAUUUCCCUCUCUGUGCUGUCCCACUGGACCAGAGCAGCAAACACGGGAAGCGUGUUCACCACAGCAGCUAGAGUCCCACUGUGUAUGCUGUGGAGCUGCCUGACGAGCCAAUAAUAAUCCUCAAAAGACAAAAACAGUGAAAUAUUUCACUUGCAGUUCACCCAGGAUAGGGAGGACUUGGGAUAUGUGUUCUGGAUGUCACCACUGAACAGUGACCGUCUUGAGAGCAGCAGUGAAAAAAAAAAGUUAUCCAGUAAGUUUUGAAGGCUGCAGUUUGGUGGCACAGCAAUAAAUUAUCAUAUCUUAUGGUUAGACUUCAUGAUCAUUGUGACCACAACACAUCAGCAACUUCAACAUCCUUGUUCUCUCCAGUAUUCUGCAGGAACCGCUGCCACUGCUCCUUUUGUCCUAUGCAAUGACCCCACAGUUGUGCCUGUGAUGGUGUGAGAGUGCAGCCCUGGAGCCAGAGUUAAGGUUCAUCACCUCGCUAGCCCAUUGCACCAGCUUUCGGGGUACCUCUGGGGUCAUCCCAGCAUAGCCCAGGAGGAGCAAUGGGACAAGAAAGCAGGUACCUCCUGCUAUCUUAAUCCAGACACUUACACAGACAGAUUAAAUGCUUUGUACCAGGUACCUGGAGUGUAGCUGGAGGCACGAGCCUCUGCCACUGGAACUUGCACAAUGACUGGUGCACUGCAAGACCAUGUAACUCAGAUACAACAUAAAGUACAAGAGAAACACAGCCCCAAAGGCAGAGUGCUGGAGAAAAGAGUGAGAAGGUGCCAGAGUUUAACCCCAGCCAGCAACUACUCCCCAUGCAGCUGCUCACUCACUCCUCCCUGAUGAGAAGGGGGAGGAGAGAAUGGGAAGAGUAAGAGUGAGAAAACUUGUGAAUUGAGAUAAAGACAGUUUCAUAGGUAAAGCAAAAGCCACAAGCACACACACAAAGGAAAACAAAGAAUUCAUUCCUGCUUCCCAUCAGCAGCAGGUGUUCAGCCAUCUCCAGAAAAGCAGGGCUCCAUCAUGAGCCAUGGUUACUUGGGAAGACAAAUGCUAUCACUGCAAAUAUGCCCCCCUUCCUUCUUCUUUCUCCAAAAAAUAUACUGAGCAUGACAUCAUAAGGUAUGGAAUAUCCCUUUGGACACUUCAGGUCAGCUCUCCUGGCUGUGCAACUUAGUAACAACUAAAACAUCAGCAUGUUAUCAACAUUAUUCUCAUUCUAAAUCACUAUACCAGCUACUAAGAAGAAAAUUGACUCUAUCCCAGCCAAACCUGGGACAGAAGGACAUGCCAAAGUCAUUGCAAAGAGCUCAGACAUUGACUUAUUUUCAUAUACCUUUUUUAUUGUAAAAAAUUCUAUAUAAUAAUUACCCUGCAAAUGAAUGUGCACAUAUUCUAUCAUCUUUUUAAAUGAUGAUUUUUUUUUUUUUUGCAUGCAAUAAUAUGCUGAUUUCUUUUGGUUAACUAGUUAACUAUUUACUAAUAUUUCCAGAGAUGUGGCUGGAUUAUAAUAGGUUGAAUGAGAUCACGUAGAUGGUUUGAAACACAGUUGAAGUGUACGUGGGUAUACCUGGUAGCAUCCAUGUGAGAAUAAAUUGUCUUAUGUUUCUGAUUGAAAUAUCUACCUUUCAGGUUUAGCUUACAUAAUUUUUCUUUUUGAUUCAGAGAAAAAAAGGAAAGCUAAUCUUAGACCAAAACUGCUCCAGAACCAGUUCUUUCAGCUAUUAAACAAACUGUUAUUCCAGAUUCAUUAUUUUCUGCUCCUUCUGAACUUACAUUACUUAUAAGUAAUAGAAAAAUAACUUUCCCCCUCCUAAAAACGCUCUGGCAUGAAACUCUCUUAACCUUCCUAGAUUGUGCAUGAGCAAUAACAGAUAACAGCUACUAAAAUGAAUAUUUCAAACAUUUUAUAAAUUCUGUUAAACAAUUUAAUUGGCAAUAGAAACAGGAAAAUGCUUUUUAAUGCUCUACUUUAUCUAAUAAUGCAGGAAUCAAAGGUAUAAAUCAAAAUAGCAUGUCUCACUAUGGUGUGUUGACAUAUGCUGUUAUUUUAGAUAUCUGCUUCAGCCACUUUGCUUAUUAGGAUAAGGCUUUUAUGACAGUUUGUGAACUAAAUUCCCAUACUACUUAGUUUACCAGUGUUAAGCGCCUAGAUAAACCUGUCUAGUUAUUGUUUAAAGGAGAUUUUAUUUAUUUUCUACCAAAUAUGUUUUGAUGCUUCCUCCUAGAAUAGUGUCAGAUUGAUAGAAGCCUAUGCAUCUGAUCUAUGGAUAUGCUUGUACUGCUGGUUUUGGAUGCUGAUCAACAAAAAAGUACUAGGUGAUAAAUAUUUUUGUCUGAAACCACAUGCUAAACUUUCUUUAUUUAAAUAAUUUUAGCAAUUCAAAAAGGGAUUUUAUAACAUAUGAUUUGAUGUUGUUGCCUGGUAGUAGGACUCUUUGGUCUAAGUUGUUGAAUUUGUUGUUGAAGUAGUUCUCCGAGCUUUUAUUUAAGAUGGCCAAGAGUUCCAUUUCAGCAUUUCUUGAUUUCAGAAGAUUGGAAUAUGUUUUUAGCCUGAAGCAGUUUUGUUUAGAGCCCAUUCAAAAUAAAGUCAGUAAAAAUGUGCCAGUAUAAUCCACUGAAUUCCAUGGCUAGAUCUUGGAUCCAACACGGAAAUUGUGUCUUGGUACUUUGAAGUUAAUCCUGUAAUGUACCUGCUUUUUCAAAAGGAGAUGUUCUAACAUUCAGACUAUUCAGAAGAAAAGUAUGACUAUGGGAUAGUGAAAAAGAAAAUUAUUUCCAGGCUUUGGAAUAGGCUGCUCAGUGAACUCGCUGAAUCACCAUCCCUGGAGAUAUUGAAAAGAUGUGUAGAUGUAGCACUUAGGGACAUGGUUUACUGGUGGACUUGGCAGUGUCUGGUUUGCAAUUGAACUCAAUGAUCUUAAAGGUCUUUUCCAACCUAAAUAAUUCCGAGAUUUUAUGAUUCUAUAAUUCACAGAAUUUGGAAUUUGCUAGAAAAUCAGCAUGAAAAAAGAUGAGACAAUGAGAAAGCGGCAUCAAAGUCCAGUGAAAAGUUUUGUUUGUCUGCAUCAUGGCAAAGUGUAUAUAUGUGGUGCUUUCUUCAUGGAUUUUCUUGGAUUCUUAGUGUUUUAUAAGCCAGCAGAGUAUUUGAGCUGGGGCUGGAAGAGCAUUACUUGUGCUCAUUUGACCUGUGCAAUGAAGGAUCCUCCUGAAAAAUAGUAUGUCAUUAUAACGUAACUGAAAAGUUUAUCGCUAUGUGAUAGGGACAUGAAGGAUGAAGCAAUGCCACACUUAGAGCUUCAAGCCAGUGUCCCUGUUGCUCCAGGCAUUUAGAGUAUGGGCCCUAUGUUGAGCCCUUCCUUACCUUCUAGGUGGACACUUCAGCGUCUCAUUCACCUGGUGUGCUCUGAGUGAGUGGUGGCUUCUGCAGUCCUGUCUUGUUGGGUGUCACCACCCAAAGGGUCAGAGAGACUUACCACUGGAAAACAUUUAUGAGUGUUCAUUAUUUCCUUUCCACUCCAGGCCACAAAGUCUCUCUGCUACCCAUGGAGGGAAGCUUGGGAAAGUGACGAAAGGAUGCUGAAUACCUGGCUGGACCCAUUACAUGAAACCACUACACCCAAAUGGGCAAAAAGCAACUUGAAAUUUUGGAGGGAGAGAUAUCAAGUGCCUGUGAAACAGAGCAGGGUAGGGUCAUAAGUAAAUAAAUAAGUAAGAGAGAAGUCUGCUUGGGCUGCAGUCCCAGUUCAGCUAAUGUGACUAACCAGGGACAGGACACAGAGGGAGAAGCAACAGCAGCCAUGCCCUCACAGUGUUUUCAUACAGCUGAUCUCUGCAAACAACUCUGAGGCAUCCUUGUGUACCAUACCAGCACUUGCAAGGAUUGCAUCGCAUUUGAAACCAUCUGGUUCUCUGCUGCACCUUUUUGCCUGGUACAGACAAGCCCUUAAAAUUCAGCAGCUGUCUCAACAUAUUUUCACAAAACACUUUUCCAGUCUGUUUGUCUGUCCUCACGUGUUCUGUCUAAUGUGCACAGCAGCAGCUGAUGAAAGAAUGGUUAAGGGCAGAAACAAAGGCAUGGUUUGUCGCGUGAAGCCAAGCAAUUAUGAAAGCUAUUGUGGAUGAGGGUGCCGAGCUACCUGUGUUUAAAAGAGACUUAAGGGAGUGUUAAUGCUGAACCUUCAGGCAAAAAGAGCUUGUUUGACAAAGACAUUACCUCUAAUACAUUGAAUAAGCAGAGAUUUAAUGUUAAAAUACUAUUGACUGAGGUCUCUGGUUUACAGAAUGACAUAUUUUCAUUCCCAUAAUCCUUCCUUCAAGUUUAACAGUAACCACAGAAUGGUAUUAUGGAAUUAAAAUUAAUUUGUGUUUUUCAGAUCUAGUAUAAAACCAUCAAAUUUCACUGCUGUCCCUUUGAGCAGGUACAGAUUACAUUCGACAGAAAGAGCAUCAGGCUUAAUGAAGUGUAAUGAAUUAUGAUGCUGCUUCAUCCUCAUGAUGAAAAUUCGUCUUUGUAUCUUAAGUUACCUGAAUAUUUUUUCAGCUGAUUUCACUGCGAAGUGAGAGCCAUCAACAGAAGACAGUGAUUCAAAUUCUUCAGCAAAACUGCAUGUACAGAUAUUAUCAACCAAGGCAAGGGAGGAUGGACCUGUCCCUGGUGACACAACCAGCAUUACUGCACUACAUUGCACUAUCAAUAAUAUAUUGAGGUAGGAGCUGUAAGCUAAGCUAAGUCUCAAAGAUCAGGAAACAUUUUAGCCACCUGAGCAAGUGGCUAAACCUUCUGUAUUUUCCUAAUCUUUAAUGUGCCAGCCUCAACAGCUAAUCUCUUGCCAGCAUUUCCAGCACACUGGGUGAGUUGAAGAUGGUCUGUAUAGGGUGAUAAAGCUUCAUGAAAUGAACAACCCAGGCAAUAAUAAAAAAAAAACACCCUCAUGAUAGAAGUGAUUGAAGAUGAUUAGAUGUUUUAAACUUUUUUUUUUUUUUUUUUUUUUUUUUUUAAUACUGAAAAAUCAGGAAGAAGGUUACUUUUCUCUCUACCCAGCUUUGGGAACAUGUGGAGGUGUUAUAGUUGUCAUGUCAAGGAUGUAGAGAGGCAUCUGAGCUUCAGAAGAAGGCUCAAAAUGUAAGGCUGUGUUAUAACACACAGUUCACUCAAUUUGGUGGUUAUCAGAGUUAUUUUUCAAAGCAACUGAAGCUUCUCACAGGGAAAUGUGUAUCUAUGGUAAUGUAAAUUCUGUGCAAAUAUUAUGUAUAUUAUAAGCUAUACCAAAGAAUAUAAUGGCUGAAUCUUUCAAGAGCUACUCUGACUCCCCCAAGUUUGUUGUCAUUGCUGUUAGUCACAAACUGUUUCUGGCCCCUUGAAGAGGAGAAAGAACAGCUCUGCCCAGCAGAGGAGCUCCUAAAUCCUCCAUGCUUGUCAUGCACAUCCUGCCCCUUGCCAAUCAUUACGAUGGCCAUUCAGAGCAGCUUUUGCAGAUGGGAUUUUCCCUGGCUGACAGCGCAGUUUCUGUGAUUAAUACUUCUGGGAGCCGUGAUUCUGUGACUAAUACUUCUCCACCCGACAGCUGGCUGCCCCUACCCCUUUCACUGUUGGCCUGCUUGCUUUAAGCAGGUUCAGUUUUGCCAGCACUUUGACGGCGGUAGACGAUGUUUUGCCUGCAGAAGUUUGAACUUCAGCUAACGGUGCUGGAUCCUGCCCUGUGUUUGGACUGACUGGAAAUUUCCAGGCUGUAGAUAGACCUUUACAGGCCCCAAACAGCUGCAGCUCAUAACUGUAGUUGCAGUUGUUGCUGGUCUGGCUUGUAGCUGGCAAGAAGGAGGAUAUUAAAAUCCCAUAAAGAUACUAUCAAAUUAGAAAAUACCGUACAGUGCGCUUUUGUUUCUUUUAAGGAUGAAGAAACCAGAUGAGAGAGGACUUAAGCUCCCUCUGUGCAUAUAUGCAGAGCGGAAAGAAAUUACAUUUAACUGACCCCUUGAUGAUAGGACUUGAUAUUCAACUAUAUUUAAUCAUGUAUGGAAAAGACAGUUGCACUUUUCAACAGCUGCUCUUACUCUUAGCUUCAAGGGGCUAACGAAAAGAUUAUGUCUGCCCAGGGAUUUACUCCCUCUCUCUCCCUCCCCCACAAAACCUGCAUUUUUUUGUGACUUUUGGAGUUCCAGGGGGAAAACAAAACAAAACGCAUUCUUACUGCAUUCAAAACUUUACUGCCAUUUCAAUAAUGUCAUGGCAGUAUAGGCGGAAGCAGAUGGCCGAGAAAGAAAGCAGGCCCUGCAGAUGUGAGAGAAUACCCCACCGCCUUUGGGAUCCCCCAUCACUGGGGCUCAUUUUCACCCAGCCUCGGAGAAAAGGCCUUACUGAAUUCCCAGGUUAGAUGCUGAAUAUCAGUGUGGUUUUUCAUUCUGUUUCAAAGAGUUUCAGCCCAUUUUCAGGAAGACAACCGACCACAGCAUUGUCAUUGCUGGUACCUGGCAAAGCUUUAAAUGGUCACAGUGCACAGAGGCCAGGGUGAGAUGAUUAAUGCACUGAACUCCCCCCAGCCCAUAAAGGAGGCUCUUUUUGAACAGGGUCACAUCCUGGUGUCACAGUGCUCUGAUCUGCCCAGAUGUGCCAAGACUCAGGUGGAUGUUUGGGAUGUGGUAAAUGGAGGGACUCACUUUCCAAUCUAAACAUGUUGGGCCAUAAUUUCUGAUUUCAGCUUGAGCUCCUUUAUAUUCCUGAUAAUUUCCCCAAAUGUGCCUACUUGAUUUAAGAACAUUUGUGAUAUUAACUUUACCAGAAUACACUUGAUGCUGCUACCAGUAUUUUAAUGAAAAUCUAAAUUAAGUAAUUACUUCUCUUGGCCUUGUUUCACCAGUAACCCUCAAUAUGCGUUAAAUAUAACCAAAUGCUACCAUUUAAAAAUGAUUAAAAUUUAAAACCAGUCUUCUGCAGGAGAAAGAAGUAGAGUAUUCUACCAGCUGCUUAUACACUUUGCACAUGAGUGGAGACAGUAAUUUUACAUGUCCCCAUGGUGGUGUAUGACAUGGCCAAAUAUUAAUGAAAAUAACCUUUUUGAAAACAGGUUAUUUAAAGUAUUAGACAUUGAAAAAUCCAGCUUAAUAAGGAAACAUGAUUUUCGCAAUACCUAAACUGCAAAUGCAAGGAAUGGCAUCUAGUUUCACUUGUUAGGUGCAUAUGCCAUUCACGUUAAUGUUAAGAGUAAUUGUGCGUGGGGAGUAUCUCUUUUAAUUUUAAGCUUCAAAAUGAGCAAAAGGAAGGAAGCAGCUCAGAUUGCUUUCCCACAGUAGUACAGAGAAGGCACAAUGCUUAGUGUAACAGAGUAGCCAGCAUGUCAGCCUCAUGGCUUUAAGUAAAGCCAUAGCACAGUCAAGCUCCAGUUCUCACCAGAACUCACAAACCUGGUGUUUUGCAAGCAUUAAAUCAUCACACCAUCACACCAUCACAUCAUCACACCAUCACACCACAUCACACCAUAGUUAAACACUAUUAUUUAAAUGAUCAGUGGGAACAUUCACCUAUACCUGGGGUUUGUUCAGAGACAUAACAUCUCUUAUUCUGAUUACAAUUGGGAGCACUUACUGUGUAAAAGGAUAGGCACAAGAUGCUUUCCUCCUUUGAACAAUAAACUUUGUGAUUUAAAUAGUGCUUGUAGUAGGUGCACAUAGAACAAAUGCAGUUGCCUACUUCACAUCCAUGUAGAUACUGAUAUGCAGUGAAAGGACUUGAUAUGAAAAGUGUGGUAAAGAAACCUCCCAGUGAUAUUCCCAUGCAAAUACUUUUGUGCAUAUCUACAUGUACUCACACACACUAGCAUUUUGUCCCAAAACGAGUAACUGCUUCUGUGGUUAGGUUUUUGUGUAAACCACUACUCAGUCUUCGUACUUUCAUGAAUGCACUUUCAUUUAUUCUUUUAUAAUUAUGAGAUCUUUGUGGUUGUAAAUGAAGUUCAGGCAUAUUAGGAAUAGAAUAAUGGUUAAUGACCUUAAAACAAACUGGCAAAAUGAUAUUGGUUAAAGAAAUAGCUUUUGACAGCAACGCAUAAUUCAGUUCUGGUGCUGAUUAUCACAGGAAGUUCUUUAGGCCAAAGGCAUGCCAGAAUCUUUUUAAAAGACUGGAUAUUAAUGCAGAUGAAAAAUACUCCGAAUGGUCAUGGUUGGUUAUUGUAAAAAUAUUAGAAGACUGUUUGACCUCAUGUUAUCCAGCAUAAAACAAUCUCUCUUGGAAGAAGAGAAUGUGGGAUCUAUGUCAAGAAAAUGCAGUCUAAAACCAACAGUGUUUGGUUGCUUUCCAUAUCAUCUGCUAGGAAAAAACAUUGGUACUCCUUUGAACAGCUUCCCUGAUUGUCCCUAUAAUGUUGCUUUUCCUGCCGCUUUUCUUUCAAACACGUAAAUUCCGUUCCUGAAGGAAAGACCUUUCCAAAGAGAAGCAAUAAAGGACAUUGUUAUAAUUUUCAUCAAAUGCUCCACCACAGUGCAUUGUGAAGAAAAAGUUUGUUUUGGUAACACAUUGGAAGCUUACUAAGUUUCUAUUUAUGCAAAACCUUGCAUAAAUAAUUUGUGGAAGUAAAUGUUUAGACCUGGGGAAAAAAAGCCUUUUUUGGUGUUAUUUGUUUUCUUGUGUAGAAUAUUUUUUAAAAUCAACAAAGUUUUGGAUAAACUGGAAUAGAUAUGAACACCCCAUGUUUAGAACUAGAUCCAAAUGUUAGUUGUAGUCUACGUAAUCUUGGGAGGGAGGGGAAAACAUUCAUAACAUUUCAGUUUAGAUCCCAAACCUAGAUACGCGAUCAUAUGUCUAAAUUUAGCUAAAUUAGGGCUGGUGGGAAGAAAUUAACACAGUGAGCAGUCAGAUUCUGGGGCCCUGGUUAGACUCUUGGCAAGCUUUGGGGGUGCCAAGGUCUGGUGGUGAGUCCUCACUUGCUGCUCUCUGCCUUCACUGUAUACAGGACUAAAUAAAACAUCCCCACAUGUAUUUCA